GUGAGUGAGAGGCCAGGGAAGGCAGGGGGAGCUGCAAGGCCAUUGGAGGGGCCCCAGCAUCUGAGCCCUGUCCUCCUGCAGG
ensembl:miRNA